GUGGGGAAUAUUGGACAAUGGGCGAAAGCCUGAUCCAGCAAUGCCGCGUGAGUGAUGAAGGCCCUAGGGUUGUAAAGCUCUUUUACCAGGGAUGAUAAUGACAGUACCUGGAGAAUAAGCUCCGGCUAACUCCGUGCCAGCAGCCGCGGUAAUACGGAGGGAGCUAGCGUUGUUCGGAAUUACUGGGCGUAAAGCGCGCGUAGGCGGUUUUUUAAGUCAGAGGUGAAAGCCCGGGGCUCAACCCCGGAAUUGCCUUUGAAACUGGAAAACUUGAAUCUUGGAGAGGUCAGUGGAAUUCCGAGUGUAGAGGUGAAAUUCGUAGAUAUUCGGAAGAACACCAGUGGCGAAGGCGACUGACUGGACAAGUAUUGACGCUGAGGUGCGAAAGCGUGGGGAGCAAACAGGAUUAGAAACCCGGGUAGUCC
rnacentral:rRNA from 1 species